CUGCCACCACUGUGGUCCUUGGGGCUUGGGAUUGGCCCAGCUCAGCCCACCGUGUGGUUUCUCCUGGUGAUUCUACCUCGGGUCUCUUCAGAGACAAACCCCGACGAACUGACAAGCCAGCGUCCACUGCAGCAUCACCUCUAACCCGUACUGCAGUGCUUCCUGAUAGGAUUUCUUGCAGUGGAGAUUGCUUCUAGCGUCCCUUAUGCCCACGAGUUGUAGCUGGCAGAAAGUGACGGCUCUGUUUCCAGCCUGGCCACGAACCUCGGUGUAUGCUCCUCUCUCCUGUUCUGCAGGCCGGAUGCUGAUGCCAAGGGGAGCUUGGAAACCAGCAUGAAGAUGGCAGGACCCUUGCCACUCCCACCAACAUGGGUCCCUGACGGACCCCACCCAGAACCAUCCCCAGCAGACUCCUGUAAGGGAAAAAAUCAACUUUGGAGCAUUGAUGCGGCUUCCUGCAGAUGCACCUUGGGGUGCAGGCCUCAGCAUCUACUGGAUCGUAAUCAAAAGGUCUCAUCCAGAGUCUACUCCUCCCAAAUUUACCGUGGUGGAUGGCUUAUGCGCACCCUAAGGGUCAUUAAAAACAACCCGAA
rnacentral:lncRNA from 1 species